rnacentral:rRNA from 1 species
GACGAACGCUGGCGGCGUGCUUAACACAUGCAAGUCGAACGGAAAGGCCCUGCUUGCAGGGUACUCGAGUGGCGAACGGGUGAGUAACACGUGGGUGAUCUGCCCUGCACUUCGGGAUAAGCCCGGGAAACUGGGUCUAAUACCGGAUAGGAGCCAUUUUUAGUGUGAUGGUUGGAAAGUUUUUUCGGUGUAGGAUGAGCUCGCGGCCUAUCAGCUUGUUGGUGGGGUAAUGGCCUACCAAGGCGGCGACGGGUAGCCGGCCUGAGAGGGUGGACGGCCACAUUGGGACUGAGAUACGGCCCAGACUCCUACGGGAGGCAGCAGUGGGGAAUAUUGCACAAUGGGCGCAAGCCUGAUGCAGCGACGCCGCGUGGGGGAUGACGGCCUUCGGGUUGUAAACUCCUUUCGCUAGGGACGAAGCUUUUUGUGACGGUACCUAGAUAAGAAGCACCGGCUAACUACGUG